rnacentral:rRNA from 1 species
UACAGAGGGUGCAAGCGUUAAUCGGAAUUACUGGGCGUAAAGCGCACGUAGGCGGAUUGCUAAGUCAGGGGUGAAAUCCUGGAGCUCAACUCCAGAACUGCCUUUGAUACUGGCGAUCUCGAGUCCGGGAGAGGUGAGUGGAACUGCGAGUGUAGAGGUGAAAUUCGUAGAUAUUCGCAAGAACACCAGUGGCGAAGGCGGCUCACUGGCCCGGUACUGACGCUGAGGUGCGAAAGCGUGGGGAGCAAACAGG